GACCAAGAAACAGGUGAUUUGGUUGCUGAUGGUGGUCUCUCAUCCUGUGACAAUGGAAGAUCUCAGGAAGACAAGAGUUCUUUUGCUCCCUGCCAUCCACAUGUCCCUGCAAGUAGCAAGCGUAUCACUGAGACAAACAUCAAAGGAAACAAGAGGAAGAGUCAAGCCGAGUGUGGUGCUUCAACAUCCCAGUCUCUAGAGGAAAGAGUUCAAGUAAGAUGAGUUCUCUGUCUCUUCUCGUUAUACUAACAAACUUAUGAAGUCAACCAAUUUCUAUCUUUUCAAGGCUGAAGAACAGCAUGAUGUUUCAUUUGAGUCUGGCAAAGCUGCGACAGGGAAAGAUGGGAAGGAACAGAAGAAUGAAGUCAAACGAGGUGGCAACAAUCACAAGAAUGAUUGCACUCAUGUCAGGGCUAAGCGAGGUCAGGCAACCAACAGUCACAGCCUUGCAGAAAGAGUAGGUUUCUAUCUGAAGCAUCCUUCUGCAUCAUUGCUCUCAGUUUCUCUAAGUCCAGAUUGCUAAGUAUGCAGAUUAGAAGGGAAAAGAUCAGUGAAAGGAUGAGACUUCUCCAGGAUCUUGUUCCAGGGUGCAGCAAGGUAACUAAUGCUUUCUUAUUGGCUCCAAAAUUGUUGCUACAAACAUCUUCUGAUGCUGCAGAUUAACGGCAAGGCAUUGAUGCUUGAGGAGAUCAUCAAUUAUGUGCAGUCAUUGCAACGCCAAGUUGAGGUAGUUCCUGAGACCUGUUAAUGCCACUGUAACAGUAAGAAAGGUUUCAUCCUGACCUUAAGAGGCAUCCCUCAGCAUCUGUUCUCUGAGUUCAGCAUCUGCUGUUGCUGUUCUUGAAUUCACAGUUCCUCUCAAUGAAGCUUGCGACUGUAGAUCCAGAACUGAACUUUGAUCUUGAUCAAACUCUUUCUGGAGAUGUAAGAUAAAAAUGAUUAAUGAAAGCUCACUAUUCUUCUGAUGUACCUGAAAAAUCUUUCUUCUUUUACCUUCUGUCAUUUAGGUCCAUUCAUGCUAUGGAGGUUCAGCUGUUCUUGCAUUUGGUCCAGGAAUGAGUAGCUUCCA
rnacentral:lncRNA from 1 species